AUGGUGGUGGUUUUAUGCAACCUGCCAGCAGCCUUCUGUUAGGUGACUCUUCUCUUGAUAACUAACACACACCUAUCACUUCUCCUAUAGAACCCCUCCCAUAGAAUUAAGGUUAUCUAAAGAUAUUACAUAAACACUGGAACACUUUUCAUAAGAAAAAGAAGAAAGAAUCACAAAUACUGCUUACAAAAAUAAAUUCAUCACAGCUUUGACUGAGCUACAAGAGAUGCAUUUGUUAAUCCAGAUCUUUCUCCGGUGGGACGAUUUCCAUCAGCAUCUGUAGGUACAUGGUAACUGGCUCUGGAACACAAGUCAGCAAGUCAUGAAAGUUAGAAAAAUGUAGCUGAGAGGCCUCACUGUGCUUGUUGGUGAGCAGUGAUAUUAUUCUUACCCUGUGGUAAUAUGUCCCUCUUAGACCCUAUACUCAGGAUAUCUGGUGUUUAAAGUGAAUCAGAACUAUCCUACUAGCUGCACUGCUUCUUCGGGAUUCAGUUCUUUCCUAAAUAUUACUCCCCCUCAACAAUUUACCCAGUAGGAGACUAUGAGUGACUCAUUUAUGCAGGUGUGUUUACUACCACUGACCAAGUGGUGACUAGUCUUAAGUCACUGAGACGGGUUUUGUUUCAAAUACAGAUUGGUUUUUUUCCACUACCUUGACCCAACUGCUUAUCAGUUUUUGGAGGGAACAGCCAAGAAGCAAACCACAUUUUGUACCAUGAGGUUGCAAGUCGUCCUGCUUAGGCUCUCUGUCAAUCUGAUCAAAUCCAAGUGCAUUUCUGAGGCUCAGGGCGGGGGCGUUUCACUAAUUUUCUUUCCUUUCUAUAGCUGUGUGCCUGUAGCCCAUCAGCUUAGGUUAAGAGCAAAGAGGUUGGGGGUAAAAGGAACUACGUGGGGAAGGAAAAAGUCCUGAUGGAAAUGACACUCGUGUCAUGCGUUGUUUUCACUUUGCUAAUUACAGAAAAUGAAUUCUCCCUCUCGCCUCUAGCACCACUGUCAGGUAAGCGAUGGUCCCUGACUCCCCAGCUGAGCAGACAGGGGAAAGGCUCUGAGGACAGACAAGCUCAGCCACUUUCGGCUGCACCUGAGUCCCACGUCUACUUUCCUGCCUUCUAGUUGGGUGUUGCUCUUCCAUACCUCUGAUGUUCCAGACCUGGAUUCACUCAUCUCUCCAGGGAACUUCAUAUCCCUUUCAUGAGAAAUGGGAUGUAAAGAUGUUAUUCUGGGUAAGUGAAAUAUUCAUUGUUCUUUUAGAAGGACAGCGAUAAAUAAGCUUCUUAGGGCAAAAAAAUCAUAAAUUCAUACUGAUACGUUCGUGGAAAUGUAAA
rnacentral:lncRNA from 1 species